rnacentral:rRNA from 1 species
CCUACGGGAGGCAGCAGUGGGGAAUAUUGGGCAAUGGGCGCAAGCCUGACCCAGCAACGCCGCGUGAAGGAAGAAGGCUUUCGGGUUGUAAACUUCUUUUCUCAGGGACGAAGCAAGUGACGGUACCUGAGGAAUAAGCCACGGCGAACUACGUGCCAGCAGCCGCGGUAAUACGUAGGUGGCAAGCGUUAUCCGGAUUUACUGGGUGUAAAGGGAGUGGAGGCGGGAAAGCAAGUCAGAUGUGAAAACCAUGGGCUCAACCUGUGGCCUGCAUUUGAAACUGUUUUUCUUGAGUACUGGAGAGGCAGACGGAAUUCCUAGUGUAGCGGUGAAAUGCGUAGAUAUUAGGAGGAACACCAGUGGCGAAGGCGGUCUGCUGGACAGCAACUGACGCUGAGGCGCGAAAGCGUGGGGAGCAAACAGGAUUAGAUACCCUUGUAGUC